rnacentral:lncRNA from 1 species
AUUCUCAAGGACGUAACGAGCACCAAAGAAUUGCAAAGGGCAUGCAGCAUUAGUUAUCAUUGAACGGUACAUAAGAGUUAAGUUGUUAGUCACCGUCUUUUUAACAUCAGUAGUAACUUCGUCACUAGGAGAACUAAAAUCGAUUAUGGUUCCAUUUCCACACGUCUUGCAUCAUAAAGGGGAGUAUUUCACGAUCGAACAUGGGAGGUAAACGCAUACGCUUUGGAUGGUCCCAAUUCCAAUAUGGUAAAGCGAAAGUUGGAUCAUCAAUGAGUUAGUUUUCCCAAUAUUCUCUCGUAGAAGUACAAGUACCAUCUAUGAAACGGAAAGAAAAGCCAAUUGAAAUGAACUUGUAAAACAUCAUCACCAAAUUUGUAAGCACCGUUGCAAUAAGCACAAUGGAUAUUGGCUUGUUGCAUGAAUGAACGAGGGUCCUUUUUAUCCAGGUCUAUCAUUCUUUGAGUGGCCAAUUGGUACUUUGCAGUAUAUUCCUCAGUCACGUCUUGAGCAACGGGACGUUGUUUACGAAGCUUAUAUAUGGGAGGAAACUUGUAAUAUGGAAUGUUGUUCCAGUCAUCUGGUGUAGGAGGGCAACAAGUAUAUCCUACUUCUUCUGUACUCUGCGUUUUUAUGGCUUUACCACACGAUUUGAGAUUAGGUGCCGGUAUAGGAGAAGCAGAGGCUAAUGGUGCAAGAUUGGAAGCACCAUAAAGUCCUCCUAAACCAAGAAGCACAUUUCUCCUUGCAUGAGACAUGGAAACUUUGGCUACGCCUUCUCUGCCGAGAAGAUUUUGCAAAGAAAGACGAGUGUGUAGUAAUAAUGAGAGUUUUGCUACUCUGCUCACCAAGACUUAAACAUAGAAUUAAUGGAACAAGAAGAAGCCAUUAUUGAGAUGACUGACAAUUGUUCUCAUUCCUAUCAUCUAUAAAUAUAGACUAAUAGAAAUAAUCAUAAAGUUACAUAAAAACAAAAAACAAAAAUGUGUAACCGCUAAAGAACAAACAUGUGAUAUUUAGAUAGAAUCAAUCUAUCCGUAUUAUAUGUACGGACACGAUAAAGAACACUGAUUUCAAUAAGUUUGAGAUAUUCAAGAUAGAAUCUAUCUAUAUUGUGUACGAAUGAUAAAAAAACAGUCAUCCAUCCAGUAAGCUAGCUUGAUAUAUUCAAGAUAGAAUCUAUCUAUAUUGUGUGCGCGGAUGAUAAAAAAAACAGUCAUCAGUCCAGUAAGUUUGAGAUAUUCAUGAUAGAAUUUAUCUAUAAUGUUAUAUCAGAUUAUAUUCCAUCCAACUUUAGUGUAAGAUUUGUGCUUAAACUAAGCAACCUAAUUAGAAUAACAUGCUGAAUUAUUAGAGUAAAUCCAUACUAUUUUUUAUGAGACUUGAAACAAACAUGAUUAGAGGUGCCAAAUACAUUUAUAGAUGAUUUCUCUAGAUAUACAAAAGUAGAUUUUUUAAGAAAUAAAUAUAAAGCUAUGAUAUAUUUAUUCUUAAAGUAGGAAAAAUAAGUUUUAUAAGUAAUUUUGUAUGUUUAUUGUAUCCUUCCCACUCACUCCACCUCUUGACCGCCACCACCCCACUGCCUACCCUUUCUACUCGAUAGUGUUUUAUUAAACUACAUAUAAAUACUUUUUAAAUAACAUUUUUUUUGCUUAAUUACUUACCAAACACAGAAAAUAACUAAGAAACCAACUUGUUCUCCAUGAUAAAUAUUCUUCUUCCUACCAAACACACCCAUAAAGCUGUUUGGAGUGUCUAACUCAAAUGGUAAGUUUUUGCUCAUCAAUGAUAUAAUUAAUGGACACGAAGUUUAAAUUUUAAAAAUCUUGAAAAGGAUAACAUGAAAAACGUUAAUUCAAUGGGUCUCCAAUUUUUUUUUAAAAUUAAAUUAUGGGUUUAAGAGAUCAUGUUACUGUCUAUUUAUCUAAUUGUAAAUUUACAAAAAACAAAAAGGAGAGGACAUUGACCUAACUUCCCAUAUUUAUCCACGCUACACCAAAAAUGAUCUUUAGCGGCAAUUAACACUCUUUGUAAAUGUCUCUAAAAUCUAUAGCGACAUUGAAUCUAAUGACAAUUAACUAAUACCGGUAAAAACUUUAACAUUCUUUGUUAAUGUAGAUAUUUAUUGUCGCUGAAAGUUGCUUUUGUUGUAGUGUAAAAAAUAAUGUGAUUUAAAAACAUAAAAUAAAAAUACAAUUUUUGGAGAAGAAUAAAUAUUUAUUAUGGAGGAUAGAAUAUGGAGAAUAAUAAAAAAUCUUUAUUUGGAGAAGCAUAAUUUUUAACUAAGCCAGAUAUUAUCCCGAUUCCCGAGAACAAUAAACUAAGAUUUGUGGGUCUUUUGUUUUGUUAAUAGUGAAUUAGUGAUUAUACCUUGUAAUUAUAGAUUGACUAAGUGCAAUGAUGAAUCAAAUUAAAUGGAUUGAAAAUAUUUUUAACCUUUCUUCGUUUUAAUUAAAAAUAAUAGUUUUCCACGUUUUUGUUGUGGCAAAGAAAAAGACAAGUUCAUAGUUGUCUUUUUCUAAGAAAUCCAUACUAAUUUUUAUGAGACUUGAAAUUCAUAGUGCACUCUUGUGGACACUAUUAAUUAUCAUAGAUUUUUCCACCUUAGGUUUUGUGUUAUUAUUUUUUUUAAAUAAUUUUUUAUUGCAUUGAACAAUUAGAUAACACAUUUUAAGAAAUUCUUUUGCUCUUCCCUAUGAUGAAUCUACCAAAUAUUUUUUGAAUGAUACGAUUUUAACCUAAUCUUUUUAUACCAAAUAUUUUUUGAAUGAUACGAUUUUAACCUAAUCAUUUUAUCUGAACAGGCGAACAUAACAAGUAAUGAAUUAGUACACUCAAUUAGGUGCAGUGUGAUAGUUUGCUCUCAUAAAAACUAUAAAAUUAAAUUGUUCCGCUAGAACAAUAGCAAAUAUAUACUCGUUACUCAGAUGUGAAGCUAGUAAAACGUUGACUUUAGGACCUCAAAUAUUGAAGCCUCAAAAUUCUUUUGAUAAUAAAUUUAUGAUUUUAUUUUCACUUAAAACAAAAUUGAGGAUCAUAAUAAAAAAGGUUCAAAUUAGUUAAGUAUUAAAAGGACAGCAAGAAAAACUAUCUAUGGUUUAUCAAAAAUAUUUUAGAACUUGAAUUAAGUAAUAACUUAAAUUAUCCUAUUAAUAAGUAAAGUUCUUACAAUAAUAUCCAAGGUAAUGAAUUGCAAAUACAUGGCUAAUCUUUUAUUAAGUAGGAUUAAUAUUUAAUUUUAUAUUUCUAUAUGAGGUUAUAUAUAGGCCUUACUAUAUCAUCUAAAAAUAUUACAUUAAAAGCAACAAGUAUAUAUAAAAAAUAAAAAAAUAUAACUCUUAAUUUUUAUUUUUUUGUCUAUUUAUAUAUAUAUACUAAAGACUUCUUAUUAAAAUUUUAUUUUAUGCCACUAAUUUUUGAUAAAACGUCCAUUGAAGAAAUGAUGAAGACCUUCUAGAUCAUUCUUAGAGCUUAACAGAGAGAGUAAAUAACUGCUUGUGUGUAUUGAUUAGAAUGAAUACAGAAUGAAUGUACAUUUAGUGUAUCUACUACUAUUUAUAGAAUGACUAACUAACUGAUUAGUCUAACUAACUACUACAUAAUCUGUUAUAACAAAAUUCCAGUAAUACAAUUACUAUUUCAUCCUUUCUCUACAAUCAUCUCAACAUCCCCUUCAAGCUAGAUGUUGUAAACACAUUCAAGACUCCUAGCUUGGACAGUAGAUGAUAAUGUUGACAGCUUCCAAGUCCUUUUGUCAGCAAGUCUGCUUCCUGCUCAGUUGUUAAGACAUACUCUGGAUGUAUCAAACCUUGUUGCACCUUCUCCCUUAUAAAAUGACAAUCAAUCUCUAUAUGCUUUGUCCUCUAGGAAACACUGGAUUAUUUGCUAUUUGCAUGGCUGACUUACUACCUGUAAACAGCUGAAUUGGUGUAGGAACAUCAACACCUACACAUUUGAAUAAAUCAAUCAGCCAAAUCAACUCAGACACUGUUAAAGCCAUACUUCUGUAUUCUGAUUCUGCUAAACAACUAGCUACAGUGUUUUGCUUCUUGGAUUUCCAUGAUAUCAAGGAUUGACCAAGCUUCACAGUGUAACCAGUUACAGACCUUCUUGAGUUAGGACAACGUGCCCAAUCAGCAUCACAAAAUACUGUCAAAAUACCUUUUCCUUCUGCAUGCAUUAGAACACCAAGUCCUGGCUCAUUUUUGAGAUAUCUGACCACCCUGUGUGCUACUUCUAAAUGAGACUUCUUAGGAUCCUGCAUGAACUGGCUUAAAGUUUGAACACUAUAGGCAAUGUCAGGCCUAGUUAGUGUCAAAUAAAGUAGUUUUCCUAUCAACAUUUGAUACCCUCUCACAUUUGGCAAAUGUGGAUCAUUUUCCAGACCACCACAUUGUUGAUCAUAUUCCAAGCUUGUUAGCUUCUGAUUUUGCUCAAGUGGUGUAAGUGUUGGCUUGCAGCCACCCAAACCCAACUCAGCUAUAAGCUCCAGAGUGUACUUUCUUUGACAUAAUAAAAUACCUUUCUUAGACCUGCAUAUUUCUAUUCCCGAAAAAUACUUCAAUGGUCCAAGAUCCUUGAUCUUGAAGGCUGCAUGUAACACACAUUUUGCCUCUUGUAUAAGGUCCUUGUCAUCUCCAGUAAUCAACAAGUCAUCAACAUAAACAAUGAUAAUCACCUGUCUAGAAUUUCUUUUCAAAACAAACAAGGAAUGAUCCUGUUGACUUUGAAUAAAACCAGCUGACAAUAGUGUAUUUGUGAUCUUCAAAUUCCACUUUCUAGAGGCUUGCUUGAGGCCAUUAAGAGAUUUGAGGAGUCUACAUGCCUGAUCACCCCCUUGACUACCAAAUCUUGGAGGAAACUGCAUAAACACCUCUUCCUUAAGGUCACCUUGCAAAAAGGCAUUAUACACAUCCAUUUGAAACAAGGGUCAUUGGUGCAUAGCAGCCAAAGCAAUGACAGCUCUCACAAUUACCAUUUUGACUACUGGGGAAAAUGUUUCUUAAUAAUCUAAGCCUUCUUGUUGAUUGUACCCUUUAGCAACAAGUCUGGAGUUAAAUCUCUCAAUUGCACCAUUAGAUUGAUACUUGAUAUUGUAUACCCACCUACAACCAAUAGGUUUCUUGCCUUUAGGAAGAGGAACAACCUCCUAAGUGUGAUUUUGAACCAGUGCAUCAAUCUCUGAUUGCAUAGCAGAAAUCCACCUAGGAUCCUUUAAGGCUUCUUCAUAGGAAGUAGGCUCCACUUCAGAUGAAAUAGCAACCAGGAAGGACUGACAUUUGGAAGAAUGACCAGAGUAGUCGAUAAACUUGGACAAAGGAUAUAAACAAGCAACAUUCCCCUUAACAUGAUGGACAUAAUCCUGAAGCCAAGUUGGAGGCCUGGUACCUCUAGUGGACUUCCUUAACUGAGGUUGUGAGGAAAGAUAAGGAUCAGAUAUAGAAGGGGUAGGACAAGACUCAACUGGUGGUGAGAUGAGAGACAAAUCAGCGGAUAAAAGAGAUGUGAUAGAAUCAGUAGGUGCAGGAUUUGAAGGCAUAUUAUCAGGACUAGAUAGAUCAAAGAACAUAGGAGUAUUGUGUUUUCUGGUUUUCAGUAACAAGAAAGGGAAAACAUGUUCCUUGAACACAACAUCUCUACUGACAAAGAACCUCCUAGAGUUGAAAUCAUGCAGUUUGUAGGCCUUUUGUGUGGAGGAGUACCCUAUGUGGACUGCAGGAAUUGCUCUAGGGGAGAACUUGUCUACUUCGGAUGGGACAGUGGCAAAACACAAACAUCCAAGAACCCUGAGAUGAGAAAGACAUGGAGUAUGACCAUGGAAAACCUCAUAGGGAGACUUCCCAUUUAGAACCACUGAUGGUAACCUAUUAAUGAGAUAUAUUGCUGCCAGUACACAGUUACCCCAAAAAGAAAUAGGAGAGUACCUUAAAACCUGACUGCCCUUGCCACCUCUAGAAUGUGUCGAUGUCUCCUUUCCACCACUCCAUUUUGUUAUGGAGUGUGUUGGACAACUACUCUGGUGUCCAAUACCAUGCUUGACCAAGAAUUCUGAGAACUCCUUAGUAAAAAACUCAGCACCAUUAUCAGUCCUGAUCAUUUUCACCUGCUUGGUAAACUGAACAUGAACCAUUUUGACAAAGGAUUGUAGUAACACAAAUGAAUCACUUUUGAGUUUCAUUAAAAAGACCCAAAUCAUCUUGGAAUGAUAAUCCACAAUAGUGAGAAAGUACCUAUGACCAGUAAUAAUAGGGACUCUAUAAGGACCCCAUACAUCAAUGUGUAAUAAAUGGAAAACAUCAGUUGCUAUGGAAAUACUAAGAGGAAAUGGUUUUCUGGUUUGUCUAGGUAAGGGACAAACAGUACAAUCAUUAAAACUACAAAGUGGCACUUUAUUUCUGUAGGAAAUGUAGCUUCUUUAUGACAACAGCAGGUACAUGACCCAGCCUCUUAUGCCAAACUUGCACAUCUUUAGACAAUUUUUUUGUAACAUUGCUGCUAGCAUUUACCCUUUUAUCAACAACCUUCUCAGAAGUCCUAGGAAGUAGGAAAUAGAGACCUCCUUUCUCUUUACCAAUCCUGUAACAUCUCACAAUUUGAAAUAACUAGGAAGAAGCUUAUAAUUGGAAAUAGUCAUUUUUUAAAAGAAUUAAAAUCUGGAUAUUUGUUUUAAGUUAGGAAAAGUUGAGUUUUGGUCAACUUCAAAAGGCAAUAAUUCCUAGCUCAGGAUGAGUUAGGUGUACUUCCAGAUAUGGUUGCAAAGCUCUUGGAAGUAUCUUUCCAACGCCGCCGAGUUUGCACAAAUCCGAGUUCGUAUGAGUGAGUUAUACCCUUUGGAAGUUGGGCUAUUGGAAUAAGGAAAGUCCAAUCCGGAUUUUUAUAGAGUAGUUUGGUCUUUUCCUUAACCUUUUAUUUAAUUCGUUUUUUGGGUAAUUAAUGUGGGAUCUAAGCUGAAUUAGAUCAGUUUACACUUUUACCAAAAGAGUUAGGGUUUGGAGAGAAAACAAAAGAAGAGGAGAAAGGAGAAGAGGAAGCAAGAACGUUCAGGAUUCGUCGAUUUCUUGGAGCUUUGCUCGUGGAUUUCGUCAGGGGGAUCCCUACAAGGUAUGUGAGAUCACAUAGCGUUGGGUUAGUUCACCCACGCGCCAAGCAUGUUUAAAUUCAGCGUAUUUUCGUCCUAAAAAGAUUGAGAAUUUGAUGUUCUUGAUAGUUGUUCUUGAAUUGAUUUCGUUCUUGAACAUGAGUUGGGAUUAAGGAGUUUCUUGAUGAUUAAGUGUUGUUUCUUUAAGUUGUUGGGUUAGAUUUUGUGUAUAUGAUAUGGGUACAUGAAUCUAAAGUGAAUUUCAAAAAAAGAAUCGAAUUCAAAUGAUUUAGGAUCAGAAAACAAGAUCAAUAGGUCGUUAGAAUUUUGCCUGAAGGGAGGCUGGCGCGACGCGCCCCCAUAGCGCCAGGCAGGCUGGGGCGGCGCGCCAACAGUGCGCCAGAUUUGAGCCCCAGUAAGUUGGGGCUGGCGCGGCGCUCCCAAGAUGCGCCCAAAUCAUUGUUUUCACCAGUUUUCGUCGUUUAGCCUAUUUAAGUCCUUCUAAAGUGUAUUAACACUUCCUAUUGAUUCUAACUACUCUAAAUGACUUCUAAACAUCUAGAAAUCAUCCAAAAACAUGAAUCAUAGCUUUGAAUCCAUAAAUUCAAAUUCAAGAAAAGUUAAGAGCCAAGUUUAGGAAGUUCUUCGAGUCUUUUCAAGAAGUCUUUUGCAAAUGCUUUUUAAGACUUACAGUUCAAGUUGAGUAAAGAUAUAAGUUCAUUUCUUCAAAAGUAUAUGGGGACUAAGUAUUCCCAAAGAGAUUUAAAAUAUUUUUACAUUUAAAUAAGAACGGAAACUGAGAUUUUCAAAGAGUCUUUGGCCUAGUUUUCAGAAAAGAGAAAUAGCUUUCUAAAUGAAGCAAGCAGGGAAACUAAGAUUUCUGAGAUAGCUUUUGAGCUAAGUUUUUGAGCACUAAUCUCAAAUCAUAGAAGAAGUAUGUUUUUAAACAUAAAGAACUAAGUAUUUUUGGGAGUAGUAUUGAGCACCGAUAUGGGAUGCGAGUUUAUAUUAACUCAAGUCUCCAUAAACCAUGUAGACAUCAUGGGUAGAAAAGGGUCAUACUUUUUAGAUGAAUCAUUUUCGCAUAGACUAGUGGAUCCACUUAGUGAGUUAGCUUCCUAUAUCACGGCAAGGUAUAGGAUGGGCCUCGGCAGCGUGAUGUAAACCGUUAUAUCAUCACUAUAGUUCUUAAGUGAUGGUUGUCGGUUAGAGAAACUCCCACAAUAGUAGUAGCAUGGUUCCUCACGGGGUUCUACUUAGCAUGAAUGGGGGUAUGGGACUUCAUUCAUGCAUUGCACAAGUAGACUUUGGAGAGGGAGCAUGGUUUGUCUUUUUUAUGAUAUUAUGAUUAUGAAUUGACAACAUGUUUUUCAACAGUUUUUAUUUAUAUUGCACUUGUUUUAAACUUCUUUAUAAUGAAAUGAGUUUAUUUAAGUAUUCAAGAGUUGAGAAGAGCCAAGGUAAGUGUUUCUUUCAUAAUCUCUUUCGAGCCUAUGUUGUUUUAGCAUUCCAACUCGAAUACUCGUACAUUCAAUGUACUUAUGCCAAUUGGCCUGUAUCGUCUUAUGAUGCAGACACAGGUAACUAAGAUCGGCAUCCGGCUCAUUCGUUGAUCCAGUGAGCAGUUCAGAGUCUGUUGGUGAGCCUCUUUGCAUUCCAGAGGACUCCUUCACAUUGUUUUCAGUUUUAGUAUUAGUUCAUUAGGAUGUCGCGGGCCUAUUCCGACAUCCACCUUAGUUGUUUAGAGGCUUCAUAGAUAGUCAGACAGUCAGUUAGUAAAUUCAGCUGUCUUUAAUUUUUAUUUCAUAUGUUAAGACUUGAGUUGCCAUUUUGGCCAAGUUGAAUGUUGACUAUUAAACAUUCUAAGUUAUUUCAUUAGUUAGAUUGAGUAGUAUGCUAUUGAUCUUUAUAAAUAUGCAUAUAGUCUUUCGCUGAGUUAGUAAUCCAGGCCAAGUGUUCGCUUGAGGCCAGCAAUGGUCUUCAAGUGCCGGCCAUGUCCAGGGUGUAGGCUCGGGGCGUGACGAAUCCCCCUCACUUUCCCAGUACAUAGGUCCUGGAAAACACAAAAAUAUGGAAAAAAGAGCACUGAGCAUUGCAAUUCUUUUGUCAUCUUUGAGACUGACAUCAGAUUGUAUUUGAAGUCAGGCACUUACAACACAUUUUCAAUGGUACAAUCAUUUGAAAUAUGACAUAUGCCUUGAUACUGAACUGACACAUUCUUACCAUUUGGCAUAAGUACACUACUUUUUAUGAGAUCAUGCAUAUUACUCAAGUUAUUCAGCAAAUCCAGAUUAUUAGUCAUGUGAUCUGUUGCUCAACUGUCUACUAUCCAGGGCUUACAAGCCUGUAUAGAAGAUGAGUUAUAGAAAGCAUUACCUGCCAUGCUCCCAGCCAGCUCUACUCCCUUGUUGUCAAGCAUAUUCAUUAUCUGAUUAUAUUGGUCAUCUGUGAAGUAGUUUUGUCCUUUGCUGCCAUCAUGCUCAACUCUUGAAUGACAUUGAGACCUUUGAACAGUACCACCACAAUUGUUUUCGGCAUGCUGUGUGAAGUUGGCUCUCUGAAGGGUAUGGUUGUUGCUUGCAGGCAUUAUGAGAACCAUUAGAAGAUCCUCCAGCAUUCCCUUUGUGCUGAAUAUUAUCUUAUUUGUCACUAACAUAAUCAUAUGCAGACAUAUUUGCUUGUCUUGAUGGUCCCCAAUUGUUCUCUCCCAUGACAUUGUGGUUAAGUUUGAUUAGUGGUUUUUUCUUUCCCCUGUAGCCUGGUGGAUAGCCUAUUACCCGAUAGCAAUUACCUUCACGAUGGCCUUUCCUUUGACAGAUAUCACAAAAAAAUUGUUAUUAGAACUACUAUUACCCCCAUAAUUGUUGCCAUAGUUAUUAUUAUUGUUGAAUUUUCUUCCUUAUGAUUGAGUAUUAUGAAUACUCAUUAGGGCUGUACUUUCAUUCGACUCAAUUCCUACACAUGAACUGGAUUCACAGAUCUUCCUUUGACUCUCCUCAUGCACAAGCAUAACAUGUGCUUGGCUAACAGAGGGAGAUGGCAUCAUAAGUAAGAUUUGACUCCUAAUAGCACUGUAGGACUCAUUUAAUCUCAUCAUGAAGUGAAACAAUUUCUGUUGUUCUAGAUGCAGCUUAAAAUCCUUCGAUGCAAGACAUCCACAUAUAGCAGGCACUAAUGAACAAUACUCAUCCCAUAACAGGCGCAAUCGUGAAUGAUAAGUAGAGAUAUCAGAAGUACCUUGAGAAAUUGUGGCUAUUUCUCUGUGAAGAUUGUGGAUCCUUGAUCCAUUCACCUUAUCAAAUCGCUCAUGUAGAUCCAUCCACACAGCAUGAGCAUCGCCUGCAUACAUAAUCCCAUUUACUAGCUCUUUCGAAACUGUAUUCAUAAUCCAAGUUAGGAUUGUUGCAUUCACUCGUUCCCAUUCUUCUGCUAGUACUACAACAAAUAUGAUAUAUAGCUAUGAAAUUAUUAGCUACGACAUAAAAUUCGUCAUUAAUUGUUCACUUUUAGUGACAAAAAUUACUUUUCGUGCUUAAAUAUACAAGGCAUAUACUUUUGGUGACGAAACAUAAUAGUUCGUAGCAAAGUUUUGUCCACUAAAGUUUCCCACCAAAAAAUGUAUUGGCGCCAUUUAUUGAGUACUGUCAGUCACGAAUUUAAAGUUACCAGUGACACAUUAUUUCGUCACUAAUGAUGUUUUUAAUUUGUGACAACUUAUUUUUGUCUUAAAAUUAAUUAAUUUUUUGACGCAAAAUAAUUUCGUCUCAAAAAAUAUGUUGAUACAAUAGCGACAAAUUAGAAUUUAUAGUUAAAUAUUCUAAGUUUUAGCUAUAAAAAUUUAGAUUUUAUUGUAACAUUUAUUUUCGUCACUAAUAAUAUAAUUAAUUGGUGACAAUUAUUUUAUUGUCUCUAAUCAACCUACGAUUUAGUGACAACAAAAAAUUGUCACAAAAUAUGUAUGAUAUUAAAUAGCGAUGACUUAGAAUUUGUAGUUGAAUAAUUCAACUAUUUGCUACAAAAAUAUUCAUUUUGGGUACGAUUGUUUAUAAUUAGAGAAUUUCAUAAAUGGUCCAUCAACUAUUAAAGUAGGUCUAAAAUAGUCCUAUAACUAUACAUUUAUCAUAUUUAGUCCUUUAACUAUUCAAAAUAUUAUCAUGUUUGGUCUCUUAAUUAUAUACUUACCAUUUUUAGUCUCUUGACUAUGCAUUUACUAGUUUUAGUCUUUAAGUAUUCAAAAAUUUAUCACGUUUGGUCUCUUUGAUUAUUUUUAUAAAAAUAGUACUCAUGUCUAUGUGAAAUUAUAUCUUUAACCCAUUUUUUAGUUAUUUCUCUUUCCCACUACUUUUUCUUCAAAUUACUCUGAAAAAAAGAACCUUACCUCAAUGAUUCAAAACAAAAUUCACGGUAAAAGAAGAUACAAGUCCUGAUUUUUAUUCAAUGGAGGAUGAAAUCAAAUAUAUUAUUGCUACCAAUGACUUGAGAAUGCUAAAAUUUAUUAUAAAAGAAAAAUGUUAUUACUGGUUAGUUGUAGAAAGAAAUUUAUUUAUAUUUAAUACAAAUGAAUUUCCUGCAAUUAGAAUAAAAUUAAAAAAAAUUUACUCGUAUAUUUUGAUUCCAAAUUUUGUACUCCAAUGACUUUAUUAACGGGAAUUUAUUUAAUAUCUUAGAAGCUGAAAUUUAUAAAAUGGUAGAUUUUCCACCAUUUUUAAGAUUUUUUUUAUUUUGAAAUAUAUCAAUUUUAUUAUUAUGUUCAUUUGAUUUUUCGUAGAGAAAUUGAAUAAUAAUAUCAAAUCUUUUAUUUAUUUUAUAUGAAAAAAUGGAAAAAAAUAUUCACGCUAAUUAUGAACCGUUAACCACUAAAGAAGAGAACAUUUAUUUUUUUGUUGGUAACUGUACAGACUAACUCGAUCUAUUUGCUUCUGUCUAAAAAUACAUACAUAAUUAGUAGUGGAUCUUUUUACGUAGAGCAACUCUAUUGAGAGUCUAUCGACUUACAAACUUAGACUGCAAAGAUGCAAAAUAUUUCAUGGGUUCUAUUACCUUUUUCAUCCGUGUGGAAAAUUGAAAAUAAACUAAAAAAAAAUGAAAGCACAAAUGAAAGAAAUUAACCAACUAUGAUUUUGAAUAUAUUAAGAUAAAGUACUAUCAUUGUGGGUAUCAAUAUUUUUUUAAAAUUUGAUUUACCGAUCGAAGCGAACCGAGUAUUAGUAUUUCUUUUAAUAAAGUCGAAUGUUUUAUUUUAUAUAACUUUAUAAUUAUACUGAAUAAUGUUUUAAUUUAAAAUAGUGUAUACACUUGUUUAUACGUGUAUAAUAGUGUAUAAAAGGUGCUUAUAUACAUUUUUAUAUUGUUAUACAUAAUUAAACUACACAUACACAAAUCAAUUGUAGAUAAUUUUUAAAUAAUGUACCUGCACUUUAUAAGUGUGUAUAAACAUUGAUUAUAUACAAUUAUAAUAUAGGACACCUUUCAAUCAUCACGAGUGUUCACACCCAAUUUUGAUAAUAUGCAAUUCGUAUUAAUUAUCGAGCUUCUUCAAUUUGAAAUCAUUAUUUUUGAAAUUUUCAAAAAUAUUUUAAAUAUAUUCUCUAAAUAGUUCUGUUAGUUUUCAUAAAUAAUUAUAUAACUAUAUAUAUAUAUAAAACUUUAAAUUAGUUAACUUCAUAUUUAUGUAUAAUUAUUAAUUAACUUAUGUCUUAAGAAAUAUUUUGUCUUAUUUUAAAUUAAGAACCUCAAAUAAUUAAUCAAUCGAAUUUAGCUAAUUGAUUCGAUUUGGCAAUAUUCAAAUUCAAUUGACUAAAUUCCUAAUACAAUAGGCCACUCAAUUCAGCUAAGAUUACAAUCGUUUGGCCAUAUUUUGAAUUCUUUAUUCUAAGACCCUCAUAUCCUCAUACAUCUAGAGUCAAUUAGGUCAUUUUAUAGAUUAUUAUAUUUGAUUUAAUAUAUUGUGUAGACACGUAAUUUUUUAUCAAACUUAAGUUUAACAUUAUUUUUAGUGCUUAAAUAUUUUUUUAAAAUUUAAAUUAAUUAUUUUAAUUUUUAUUUUAUUUUAUUAAGUUUAUUUUAAAUGAUUUGAAAAGCACAAAAAAUUGAAUCGUAAUUUUAGGUAAGUUUUAUUUUUUCAAUUGUUUUAAAAAGAAAUAAAAAAUAUAAUUUUGUUUAUAUGUUUUCUUUAAUUUAGGUUUAAUAAAUAAGCUAGUAAUUUUAAUAUAUUCUUUAAUUACAUAUUUAGAUUAACUACUUAUCUUUUCUUAUAUUUUCAUUAGUUCAAAAUAAUUAGCUAAUAUUUUUAUAAUUUUUAUAUAAAUUUAAUAAAUAAAUAAUAACCAACUGAAACUACCUCUUACCCCACUACUACACCUACACCAUCCUAUUUUCCUCCCACUAUCCUAAUUGUUUACCCACUAUCUACCCACACACACAAUCAUUACCUGUAUUAACACAACAAUAAAUCAAAACUAAAAGAAUCAGCAACACCCAAACCCAACAAACGACAAUAAGGAAAAAAAGGGGAAAAAAAACUCCUAUACGACCAUCACACAAAAACACACAAACAAAAAAAAAGGACGAUCAACAAAAAAAAAAAAACAUAUACACGCAAAGCAACAGCAACACAUGGAAACAAAAAUACAAUACACACUAACACCAAAAACAAUAUUUAUGAGAGUUUUAAUCGAGUUUCGAUCAAGAUUUUGCGGUUCUUAUUUCUUCAUUUGUGGUACUUAACUUUACCUUAUCUCUUAAUUUAUUUAUGGAAAUUUAUGUAAUUAUGUGAUAAGUUUUUCUAUUUUAUUUAAAAUUUGAUUGAAAUGAAGAUUGGGUUAAAGUGUUAUAUCACCAUUUAAUGAAUGAAGUCCUAUAUAAUGUAAGAAUUUUAUUUUUUAUUCUUGUUGUUGUUGUUGUUGUUGUUGUUGUUGUUAUUGUUGUUUAAUUUUGUCAUGCCCAAGCCACUAUUUUUAUGACAUUGUUGUAGCUUAAUGUUCAUGUCAAUUGUCUAUUUUAAUUUACAUAUUUUUAAAUAAAUGUGAUUACCUAAUAAACAAACAAAUGGGUUAUGUUGUUAAACUUGAAUUUACUUCAUUUUGGAUUAGUUGAAUCCUUUGAUAUGAGGAUUAAUUUAUUUAAAAAUAGUAUCAAUUAAUAUAAUAAUGGGAUGAAAGAAUAGUUCUCUAAAAUUCACCAAAAUAAUAGUAAGUACUUUCAAUACUAGGUGAGUUUUAGGCACGUUAGAAAUAUGUGUUUCAAUUAAGAGACUUUUAUUCAUUGCCUAAGCAAUAUCAGUUGUUGGCUUUUGUAUUCACCUGCCACAUUCAUGAGUUAUUUUAGGGCUUUUGUAUUUAGCAAAUCAGAAUUACAUUGUUGAUAACAUGCACCUAAUUAACUGACAUAACAUUUCAAUUUUCAGUUAAAUGAGCUACAUAAAAAAGAUUUGGACUUACAAGUAUUUAUCUGUCAACUUUAUGAAAAAAGAGCCUUUUGAUUGUUUCAUUUGUCAUUUCUUAAUCACAUUAAAUUUUUUUAUAAUUGAUGGCCUUUUUCUAUUAUGUUCUAAGAAAUUGCUUGAGUUUUGUUUUCUAGAACUCUCGUCUUUUUUUUUCUCCAACAAAAUGGAUGAGGCUAUAAAUUCUAGUUAUAUGCAGUUUCUCCUUUAAUUCACGCAUGUUUGAUUCGAAUGUGAGAAUUCCUACAUAGAUUACAUUAUAUUUUAAUAGUUAAUAGUUUUCAUGAAUGAUAGAGUUUAUGUUGCCAUGUAGAGUAGUUUGUGAUGAUAUAUACUCCAUAAACUUUCACGUGUGUUAAACUUGUAAUGAUAAAAUUUAUAUUGUAAAUUAGAAAGUACUAAUAUAUAUAUNNNNNNNNNNNNNNNNNNNNNUAUGUGUUACCACAUUAUUGAUAUUUUAGAAAGAAUUUUUACUUAUAUGUCUUUGUAUAGGAGUAAUAUUUAGUAUAUUUUUGGUUUGAUUUUCUUGUCAUUGGACAUAUUUUACUUUUAUUUUAGGAGUUCGUAAUGAGAUAUUAUUAAUUUAGUAUAAUUUUAGUUAUUUUUAUUGUAUGAUCAUGGGUGAAUUUUAUGACAAAUAUUUUUGUCAUGAAUUAAAUUAAUUCAUCACAAGUUGAUUACAUUUAGUGACACAAAUGUAUUGUCCUAGUACCCCUUUUAUUGAAUAUGAUUUUAUUUUUAUUUUGUGACAAUUGUAAGUGUCACUACUUAUGAUAAUAUUUUGUGACAAUAUAUGUCGUCGAUAAAAGCAGCACUUUUAGUGACAAAAUGAUAUAUUUAAUCACAAAAUUAUUAACUUUUUUUAUUAUAUUAAAUUUAUCCCUAAUUUAUACAUUUAAGGACAAAAUAUUUUUUUGUAUAUAAAAAAAUAGUCAUUAGUGACGAUAUUGUAUUUUUCAACUACGAAAUACAUAUAGCUUUAGAGACAUUUGAUGUCGUCACUGAUUGAACAAAAUAAUUAGUGAUGAUUUAAUUUUGUCACUAAUAAUAAUAUUUUUAGUGACAAAACAUACUAUUAACUACAAAAAAGUUACACUUUUAUGACAAAAUAAAUUCGUCACAAAUGUUUAUGCAUUUGGGGACAAUUUUUAUUUUGUAGUUAAUUAUAAUAUUUUAGUGACGAAGCACUAAAUCGUCUUUGUAUACUUUUAGUGACGCACGUUUAGUGACGACUGACUGACGAAAUUUUUUUUCGUCACACAAGAGUUUUAGUGACGAAAUAUGAUUUAUAGAUGACGAAAUUGUACGAACUCUUCUUGCAUGUUCCAUCAAUGAAUCCUGAUUUUCGUUUGGCUCACAAUGCAAUCUUCAUUUCUCUGCUCCAAAUCGAGUAAUUCUCUGAUCCACUGAGAUGAACAGAGAUUAUUACAUUGCCAGGAUUAUCUGAUGGUAACAGACAUAGAGGAUGUCGAUGAUCUGUAACCUCCAAUUCCACCAUCGCUAAUCCUUAGAGAUUUUGAAAAAAAAAAAAUUGCAUGAAUUUGGGGAAAACUUUUGCAGAGACUUGAGCAACUUCACUACUCAACUCUUGAAGCUCCAAUCACCCUAACCGUAGCUCUGAUACCAUGAUAAAACCUCCAUUGAAGAAAUGAAGACUUUCUAGAUCAUUCUUAGAGCUUAACAGAGAGAGUAAAUAACUGCUUGUGUGUAUUGAUUAGAAUGAAUACAAAAUGAAUGUACAUUUAGUGUAUCUACUACUAUUUAUAGAAUGACUAACUAACUGAUUAGUCUAACUAACUACUACAUAAUAUGUUAUAACAGAAUUCUAGUAAUACAAUCACUAUUUCAUCCUUUCUCUACAACAAUCUCAACAAUUUUAUUGAGAUGCUCAAUUAUUUUAAUUUCCAACUAAUAGUCUUGACAAUAUGAAUAAAAAUAUGAUAUUCUUGAUGAUUAAUUUAGGUAUAUGAGUGUUUCUAGCUUUAUACCGAGAUACAAUUAAGUGCAUGAUGAACUAGUUUAGAACCAAUGCAUUAGUAACUAUAUGUUUGAAUACAUACGCAACCUUUUAAACUUGUAUGUAUUAGUAAUCACCCUUUAGCUAAAUGCAAGUAAAGGUAAUAUUUUAUUUUAUAAAAACCAUUCACCCAAGCUUUCAAUUUUUCAGGAUGAGAGUUUAGGCUGGAUCUAUACCUUAUGUAUUAUUUGAGUUAAUAUCUUAAAAUGUCAUUGAACUAUGAGAAAUUAUCUAAAAAAGUCUUUGAACUUUAUUUUGUGUCAAUAAAAUCACCCAACUUAAGACUUUUAUCUUCAAAAAUCACUCAACUAAAUUUAUCAUUAAAAUAAAUUUAACAUGAAAAAAUGAUUUUUUUUUCCUUAUGCCAUUUAAUCAUGGACCCACAAAAAAUAUUGUGACAUAUAAAUCUUUGAAAUAACCACAAAAAAUUACAAAAAUAAUAUCUAUACUUUGUUGUGAUUUUUCAUCUUCUACUUCUGAACCUCAACAACCUCUCCAGCAGUUUCAAUACUUACAACUUCACCAACACCUUGAGCAGCCAGACAUUAGUUCUAAUAGCUAUUACUGGUCCUUCAUUUGGUUCCUUACGAACAAAAAGAUAAGAAAUAAAGACCUUGGCAGAGAACAUUUUGAGAUUGUAUUACUUUUAAAGUAAAAUUAUUACCUGGGUUAUGGUUCACUGAUAUGCCAAAUUUAAUUUUGGUUAUUAUCGUUUUACGUAUCCGGGUGAUAAUCAGUCAUUUGAAGCCUCAUUAGUUGGAAAUAUAAUUUAUUUCUUCCUAUCAAAUUUAUUUUAAUGGUAAAUAUAGUUGAGUGAUUUUUGAAGAUAAAAACCUUAAGUUGAGUGAUUUUAUUGAUACAAAACAUAGUUUAAUGACUUUUCUAGCUAAUUUCUAACAAUUUAGUGACAUUUUAAGAUAUUAACUUUGUAUUAGUUAAACAAAAGAAUGAAAUAGAAGGAAUUAAACAUUACCUCUAGAUAUAAGAGGAUGCCAAGAAAGGAAAGUGACAACUUCAAUUUAAAGAUAGCUAAGAUAGACAAAAACAGGCUACCAUUUACAUUAAAUGGUGAGGUAUUCAGAGUUUGAUUACACGAUGUAUCCAUCUUUAUGUUCAACAACCUCUACUCUGUCAACUUCAUUACCAGUACCCGAUUUUGCUUCACCAACUUCCUAUGUUUCUGUCACGACCCAGACCGCCGUGAGUGGCACCCACACUAACCCUCCGGUGGGAGAACCAAAACUAAAGCCCAACUCAUAAAUUUUCUGAACACUAAGGCAUUUAAAGAUACAGAAGCAGGUUUAAAUAACUAUAAAAAAAGGAGUCCCUAUAAACUCCAAGGUUUUAACAAUUAACUAACCAAACUAAUGCGGAAAUUCAUCCCCUAAAACAUGAAAGUCAAUGUACCAAAACUUUACUAACGACAAAUCUAAGAACAAUGGGUACAACCCCGAAACUAAACAAACACCUUAAACAAAUAGUCUGAGUCAGAACAGAGUCGACUUAACAAAAGAGAUCCGUGGCAGCCCGAAAGAAAUGGCUCACCCUUGAAUCCGAUCACACACAAUAGUCACCUAGCUGAGGUCUAUCAAUAGCCUCCUGAAGAGGCCCUGUACUCAACAAAGAACAAGCAAGUUCAGUAUCAGUACACAACCACAGUGUACUGGUAGGAUCACGCGGCUAUCCCAAUAAGUGUAACAUACAUUAGUCAAUACAACAAUAUAAUCACAUGCACAUAAUGAACAUAUACAAUAUCAUCAACAUAUACGAACAAUGAACAACUUCACAAUUCUCACAUAUCACAGUUAUAUCAAUUUAGAGCAACAUACUGUCUUCCAAUAUCAAUCGUCAUUAGAUAUGAACGAAAUCAUCACAAGUAGAUACACAACACAAUUAAAUGGUCCUCUCACGGAACCCAAUUCAAUGGUCAUCUCAUGGAACCCUCACCCAAACAGUUAGUAUACCGGAACGUGGUACCCGAUCCAAUGAUUAUGCCGAAACGUGACAAUCGAUCCCAUAAUUAUGCCGGAACGUGGCAACCUAUCCAAGUUAGUUAUGCCGGAAUGUGGCAACCGAUCCAAGUUAGUUAUGCCGGAACGUGUCAGCCGAUCCAUUCAACAUGCCACAAUCACAAUCACAAGUAUAUCCUCAAGAUCAUACAUUUAAGUCAUGAUUUCAUGGUAACCAUCAUUCAUCUAUCUCAUUUACAACAAGUGUGAUCAAUAAUGCAACAUUCAUAUACAUACAUGUAUCAUAAUGAAGUAAGAACAAACAUACAUCACAGAAUUACAGAAUCACAACUAUCACAUAGCUCGAAUCCAAGCUUGAAUCCCCUAAGGCACUUGAAUCUUCCCUUUUCGGAUUCUUCCCGCUUGUUUGUGGUCUAAAAACAUACAAAUAACGCAAGGAUCAACAAACGAGGCCUAAUUACCCGGAUUAUAAUCAAUAAAUAUCAAUCCUAGGUGAAACGCUUGGUCCCCAUACCCAGAUUAGGGAUGUUUCCACCAUAGAAUCUAUAACAAAACCCUACCCCAUAAACAUUCACCCAUUCUAUUACGUUCUACGGAUCGAAAAAUGAAUUUGGGGAGUGAAAAACUUACAUUUAGCCUCAAGAAUGGUGAAAAAUGAGUAGGAGUCGCUAGGGGUUCGUUCCUUAGCUCUAAAAAUCGAAAAGUGCUAAUUAAGGUAGUUUAAGGGUUUAUUUACGACUUUAAGUCUCGUCGAACCCGCUACGGCGGGACCCAACCUGCCACAGCGACCCCGCCAUGGCGGCACUAUCCCGCUCUGGCGGCUUGCACAGAAACAAUGAGCAAAUUUAAGAAUUCCAACUCCCAUUUCACAACACACAUUCAUCCCAUGACACUCAGAAAAUACAUGAUCAUACUAAGAUCAGUUUCGGGAGUUCUACUCACCCGAAUUCAAUUCUGUAAAGUCGUACGGGUUCCUUAACGUCUUAGCUAUCCACUCAUGUAAUCAAAUUCAUUAAUAGAUCUCUCAUUGGUUACCAGAUUUCCCUAGACCUCACUGACUCCGAUUUCGUCCAAAUCUGGACUAGGCUAGGAAAUCUCAAGUUACUACGAAAAAGUUUUCUGACCCCAGUUCUUUCUCCAUUGGCUUUUCCAUAACGAUGAAAAUCAGGUCAAUAGAUACCAAUUUACCCAUCAUUUGUCCCCGAGUGACAAACUAGGAGAAAAGGGCUAAAACAAGAAUAUAGUAGUAAUUGAAUCGUCAAAUAACUAGGGAUACUUGUCCCACAUACUUUUUUCUGUCGACUCUGGGCUGCUAGAAGCUUAGAUUGGAUACUUCUCACCUUACCCUAAACAUCUUUCACCAAAUCAACUCUCAAAGGUUUCACGUUUUCAACCUCAAACCAACCAAUUGAACACCUACACAUGCUCCCAUACAAUGCCUCAAUGAAGUCAUCUUAAUACUCGAGUGAUAAAUAUUGUUGUAUGCAAACUUAACUACAACAAAAGUGAUUCCCAACAACCACCAAAGUUGAUUGUACACACGUCUACAACAUGUUAUUAAGGACCUUGACACAAUCAUCCGGACGAAUCUUUUAACACUUAAGCAGAUAAAAUUCCAAGUCAAUACUCGCUACAAAUAGAAGUGAACCUAAAUCAACCAACACACACUCACAAUACCCAAACAAUCAUAGUUGUUAACAAUAUCUCCAUCCCACAACAUAAAUUCCCAUGAGCUUAAGUUAUAACCAAUUUGAUCUUUAGAAAUCAGGUACUCAUCAAGGGAUAUGUCCAAGCAUACAACCCCUCCAACAACACUAUCGAAAUGCUAGAUUUAGUAAUUAUAGAUUACCUCUUAAUAACAGUAGAAUUGGACCUAAUGAUCCCCACAUUCAACCACACAUAACCGGUACAUGACCUCGACGACUAGAGGAAUAUUAAGAUUGUCGGACAAUCACAAAUACGCAUGGCAGCUCUUCUAUAAAUUCUCAUAACCAAGGUGGUACAUGUAGAACCACAAAAUAUUUUUAACAACUCCAAGACAACAUCAAUUAUUUCAUUCGAAAUAACCAAAUCUUCCCAAUAUUCCCACUCAACCAAGAGAAUAUUGCAGGAUUUGGUACCCCCGAUCCACUACCAGGGAUCCACCCACAAAAGUGAAAACACACGAGAGCAUAGCUAGUGAAUCAUACUCACAAUACUAACAACCAUCAUAACACUCUGACCAUUUACCUUAUUAUAACUCAACACUUUUUAAAUGAAACAUUUCUUAGAUACUUAACAAUCAAUAAUAAUAAACUUUACCACUCAAUCCAGGUGUAAGUCCUUUCAAAUACUCAAUACCGGAUACAAUUGAUCAUUUCUCACCUUGCCAAUUCAUACUUUGAUAAAAUACAUCACUACGAAUGUAGACUCAAUAAAGGGAGACUCAACCUCAACACCCCGAGCAUGAUCCAAAUAAGCCAAACAACCCAGUCUUACCAGUUUCUUAGCCCGAAUGGAGGAUAUGAUCUUAGCUAGCUUAGGCUUGUACACCCCUUCCCAAUAUAAUCUUUCCCUACCGGGGAUCUCUAUAGUUACCGACUUAGUAUUACAAUUAAGCCUGGUAUAAUAGGGGGACAACCAAUUCAUGCCUAAGAUUAUAUCAAGUCAGUCAUAUCCAGCAUAACCAAAUCAACCCAAAUCUGAAAAUCCAUAACCACAACAGGACAACACGAUACACAUAGGUGACUAUGAAUGACUCUUCAACUGGGGUAGUAACAUGGAUGGGGGCAUCAAGUAUACACAAACCACAUCAAAUCCCAAGGCAAUUAAACUGACACAUAUGAAUAAGUAGAACCCUGAUCAAACAAAACAAUAGCCAUCCGGGCACAGACAAGAGUAGCACUCGUGACCACUGCAUCACACCCUCAAACUCGGUCUAACCCGGAAAAACAUAAAACUGAGUCAUGUCAUCUUGACUAGCAACCUCAUUGCCUAGAUGCACAACUCAUCUACCUGCAUUACCAUUUUCCCAGCCUCCACAGCCUCGUUGAUUUCCUCCUCAUAUGCCCAGGUUCUCCACAAUUUUAACACAUUUUAUGACUUAUAUUCUUAGAUCGUCGGGGUUAGUUCAGGUACGAUUCGGGGGCCAUAAUUGUGACUAGGGGAAAACAUGGGAGAUUGGGCUAAGAUUCUAUCUCUCUUUGUCCCGCUUUGGCGGGAGAAAUCCCGCACUGGCGGUGUCACCUUGGCGGGAAAAUCCCCCCCAGCGGCUAUAAUGAAAACAGAAUCCCUGCCAACAAUUUUUCUGGGUUUCUUUUCUUUCCCAAUUUCCCCCAAAGGUUCCCAACUAUAACACAGACAUUUUUAGAGUACUCAAUCCCCUUAGCUAAGAUAAUCGUUGCCUACCCCGAGUCAACCCAACGAUACACACUCCAAAAUCCCUUUACGUUACUUCAACACUACAACAUCCUCGUCCCCAUGAUAUACCCAGACUCUCACACGGUUUUCAGUUGGUCGCAACGCAUGUCCAAAUUUCUCGUUUACGAACCACAUCGUAAUUUAUCUAGACCCUUGCACCUAAUCUCGUGAUGACUUUCUUUUCACAACAAGUUUCACGACACUCAAGCAGUUACAACUUGCAGACAAGUCCAAAUUCCUUAAUUAGCUCAUUCCAUAGAUGACCAUUACUGAUCAUCUAUGCCUUAUAUGACCCCUAAGGCAAGAUACCAAUUGCAACCUUCUCAAUUCUAAUUAACUUGCUUGUGUCACUUUAGCCGGGACUACGGCGUCUAGUUCACUUCGUUGAGAUACCAAUUGGAAUCGGGAGAUACCAAUUGGAUUCAACUCAUACCACAAGCGACAAUAGUAGCUAGCUAGCCCCACAAAACUACUAAUUUCAAUCAUAGAACUUGGUCGAACCAAAUUCUUAACCGCCUCAACCUUUAACUGAUGGUAACCAUACCUUAAAUCAAUCUUAGAGAAAACCGAUGCACCUUGCAAUUGAUUAAAAAGGUCAUCUAUCCUAGGCAAUAGAUAGUUGUUCUGAAUGGUGACCAUAUUCAACUGUCGGUAGUCUAUACACAUCCUCUCUUACUGGUGAUGGUGUUACCGUUGUUGUUGCUCUAGCUCGAACCAUGGAGUGAAGGAGGAAAGAUAUGAAUUUGUAUCACCCAAAUACCAAUUAGAUUCAAGUCAUAGCACGAAGGAGUAGAAAGAAGUGAGUUUUUUCCUAAAGUCCUAUAGUCUCUCGAAGAAAAGUACGGACGUUAUCGUACCGUUCCGCAAGACUCUACUAGACUCGUUUUGGUACAAUGAGAUCAACGAACCUAGGGUUCUGAUACCAACUUUGUCACAACCCAGACCGUCGUAAGUGGCACCCACACUAACCCUCCGAUAGGAGAACCAAAACUAUAGCUCAACUCAUAAUUUUUAUGAACACUAAGGCAUUUAAAGAUACGGAAGCAGGUUUAAAUGACUAUAAAAAUGGAGUUCCCAUAAACUCCAAGGUUUUAACAAUUAACUAACCAAACUAAUGAGGAAAUUCAACCCCUAGAAACCUAAAAGUCAAUGUACCAAAACUCUACUAACGACAAGUCUAAGAACAAGGGGUACAACCCUGAAACUAAACAAGCACCUUAAACAAAUAGUCUGAGUCCGAACAGAGUGGACUUAAACAAGAAAGAUCCAUGGCAGCCCGAAAGUAAUGGCUCACCUUUGAAUCUGAUCACGCUCAAUAGUCACCUAGCUGAGGUCUAUCAAUAGUCGUCUGAAGAGGCCAUGUACUCAACAAAUAAAAAGCAAGUGCAGUAUCAGUACACAACCACAGUGUAUUGUAGGAUCACGCGGCUAUCCUAAUAAGUGUAACAUACAUUAGUCAAUACAACAAUAUAAUCACAUGCACAUAUCGAACAUAUACAAUAUCAUCAACAUAUACGAACAAUGAACAACUUCACGACUCUCACAUAUCACAGUUAUAUCAAUUUAGAGAAACAUACGGUCUUCCAAUAUCAAUCGUCAUUAGAUAUGAACGAAAUCAUCACAAGUAGAUACACAACACAAUUAAAUGGUCCUCUCACGGAACACAAUUCAAUGGUCAUCUCAUGGAACCCUCACCCAAACAGUUAGCAUACCGGAAUGUGGUACCCGAUCCAAUGAUUAUGCCGGAACAUGGCAAUCGAUCCCAUAAUUAUGCUGAAAUGUGGCAAUCGAUCCAAGUUAGUUAUGCCGGAACAUGGCAACCGAUCCAAGUUAGUUAUGCUGGAAAGUGACAGCCGAUCCAUUCAACACGCCACAAUCACAAUCACAAGUAUAUCCUCAAGAUCAUACAUUUAAGUCAUGAUUUCAUGGUAACCAUCAUUCAUCUAUCUCAUUUACAACAAGUGUGAUCAAUAAUGCAACAUUCAUAUACAUACAUGUAUCAUAAAUGAAAGCAAAAAACAAACAUACAUCACACAAUCAUAGAAUCACAAUCAUCACGUACCUCGAAUCCAAGCUUGAAUCCCCUAAGGCACUUGAAUCUUCCCUUUUCGGAUUCUUCCCGCUUGUUCAUGGUCUAAAAACAUACAAAUAACGCUAUGAUCAACAAACGAGGCCUAAUUACCCGGAUUAUAAUCAAUAAAUAUCAAUCCUAGGUCAAACCCUUGGUCCCCAUACCCAGAUUAGGGUUGUUUCCACCAUAGAAUCUAUAACAAAACCCUCCCCCAUCAACAUUCACCCAUUCUAUUAUGUUCUACGGAUCGAAAAAAUAGAUUCGGGGAGUGCAGAGCUUACAUUUAGCCUCAAGAAUAGUGAAAAACAGAGUAGGAGUCGCUUGGGGUUCGUUCUUUAGCUCUAAAAAUCUAAAAGUGCAAAUUAAGGUCGUUUAAGGGUUUAUUUACGACUUUAAGUCGUGUCAAACCUGCUACGGCGGGACCCAACCCACCACAGCGGCCCUGCCCUGGCGGCACUAUCCCGCUCUGGCAGCUUGCACGGAAACAGUGAGCAAAUUUAAGAAUUCCAACUCCCAUUUCACAGUACACCUUCAUCCCAUGACACUCAGAAAAUACCCGAUCACGCUAAGAUCAGUUUCGGGAGUUCUACUCACCCGAAUUCAAUUUCGUAAAGUCGUACGGGUUCUUUAAUGUCUUAGUUAUCCACUCAUGUAAUCAAAUUCAUUAAUAGAUCUCUCAUUUGUUACCAAAUUUCCCUAGACCUCACUGACUCCGAUUUCGUCCAAAUCUAGACUAGGCUAGGAAAUCUCAAGUUACUACGAAAAAGUUUUCUGACCCCAAUUCUUUCCCCAUUGGCUUUACCAUAACGACGGAAAUUAGGUCGUUACAGUUUCAAGAUCAUCUUAGGGUUGAUUCACCUACAGUGUUUUCUUGCCUCCAUCUGUGUUCAACAGCCUCUACUCUGUCAACUCCAUUACUAGGAACCGAUCAUAUCACAAUGAACGAUCAGAGAAUAUUAAAAGUUCCACAUUUUGUCCAGUAAAUUUAAUAAAAUUAUCACUAAAAGUCAUAUUUUUAAUAACAAUUGAUUUGCGACAACUAUAAUGCACCACAAUAAAUAUCUUAAUUUCCUUUUAGCAUUCAUUGUUGUGGUCAGUAAAUUUAAAUAAUUUUCUCUAGAAGGCCACAAGAUUUAACAGGUAUGGUUUACACACCAACGAAAAUGGCUACAAUAUUUUUUUUUUAGAAAAAUGAUCUAAUUUGCUAAUAAAUUUAAUUAAAAUGUUAGUAUAAGGGAGCCGUUUAGUGGCAGCAAAAUUUAGAAAAUGCUCGUUAUAUAUAUAUAUAUAUAUCUUUAGCUCUAACAAACAAAAGAAAGUAUUAAUCCAAAAUACUACUAUAACAACUUUAAAAAACUAACACAAAUAAUAUUCUUCAAAUAAUUUUUGCAACUCUUCAUCAUAUUGAAGUCUCUCAAAUUGCUAAAUUUUUUUAAUUUUAGGUAAUUUCCUACUAAAGCAUCGUAGUCCCUCAAUAAAAAGAUUUUAACUACUAAACUAAAUACUGAUAGAUACUAUACACUACAUCAAAAAUGAUCAUUAGCGAUAAUCAAUUCUUAAUUGCCGCAAAAUAUCUAUUUUUAGCGGCAAUUAGCACUCUUUGCAUAUGUCCCUAAAUCCUUUAGCGACAUUGGUUCUAAUGGCACUUAACUAAUGUCAGUAAAGACUUUAGCACUCUUUAUUAAUGUCCAUAUUUAUUGCCGCUAAAAGUUGUUUUUGUUGUAGUGUAUAUUCUGUAUCUACCGAUGGAUACAUAUCGCGAUAUCGUCAGUUAAGUCUUGAUAAAAAAAGUAACAAAUACUUUCGAUGCAUGAAAAAUUACUAUUGUCGUUUCAAAAGUAGGAAGUGCAUUAUUAUAAUUACCGGGAUGUAUAAAUGUUCUAAAACAAUUAAUAAUUUAAAAAUAUGAAUGGAGUCUCUCGAUAUCUCUAAAUACACCGGAAUUAAAUUUCUCUGACUACGGAAAAGACAGUUAUCCUUUUGUUAAAUGAUUUGAAUAUCGAUUUAAUAACUUUAUAUGUUAACUUAUUAGAGUAAUACUAACUGUAUAUAAAAUCUAAUAAAAACUCAAAAAGUAAGGGUGCAAAACUACAAACAUAUAAAUGUACAAUAAUUCCAACAACUUAAAUCUGAAAUAUGUGAUAUUCAUGAAAAACUCUAGAAAAAUUAAAUGAGUUGUCAAACAUAUGUUAUAUAAUUAGUUAUUUUUGAAAUUUCCUCAAAAAUAGUAUUUCUCAGCAAGUGGUCCUAAUAGAUUCCUUUGUUUGUAACCUAUGAGGAAAUUAAGUGGACAGUCAGAUUUUGUACGGAGAGUUGUUAUGGACAAAUUUGAUUGCUCUAUUGUAACUCUACGGCCUCACUGCUAAGAUAUUAUUCCUUUGAUAUUAUAUUGUUCAAUCAUUUUUAUUUAUUCAUUAUACAUAGCAUGACUCUUAAAAGAUAAUAAUAAUGAUUGAUAUAAGGCUUGUACCAAAAAGCUCAUAUUAAUUAGUAAUAUUUAGUAUUAUGCUUUGAAUAAUAAUUUUAAAAAAAUAAUUAAUAUGUCAAAUGUGACCAGUAGAAAUUAUAGUUUUGAAAUAUUAGAUAGAUUCCACCAUUCUACAUUAAAUCUUGUUUUAUUGUUCACGUGGCAUGUUUUAUUUUCUAGAGUUUUGUAUAUCACCAUAUGAAUUUAGCAAAAGAAAGGGACGUAAAUAUUUUGCAAUAAUAAAUCGUUUCAUUAAGAAUAAAAAGAUUACACAUAAAUUAAAACAGAGGGAGUAGGUUAGAUAUUCUAACAAACAUUAAUGAUUUAAUUUAACCAUCGAGCAAUUCAAUAGCCACACUUUGGAUGGAGAUCACAUCUCCACCCGUUUUAGGAACCACAGUUACCGUAAUGGUAUCGUCAUCUUCCAGCUCAAUGUCCUCUAACAGUUCAGUAAUGCCUAGCUGAAACAUCUCAUCAGAAUCCAUUUUCUUAUUAUGUGCAUGAACGUGAGGCAAGUUGACAUAGCUCCCCGCGAACUCCACCUUAUCAAGCUCAUCCGUAUUCACAUCCUCAUCCUCGUUCAGGAACACAUCAAAUCUUAUAUAUUUGUUAGUAUCAUACUUUAAACCCUUGAAUAUUAGCACCUCUUCUUUUUCGUCUUUAUCCUUUUGACUCCUUGACGUAGUUGGCCUAUUGAUGGAAAACGAAAAUGGGUUUGUUGAGGUUAGCAAUUGGGAAUACUUUGUUUGCUGGCUUGAUGUUUGUUACAUCCACUUUUCCUUCUCUGCCUUUUCUUGUUGGCCUACAGUUAACCCACGGGAUGGCUGCUGGCGCGUAAUCAUAACCCAUCUUCUUCGUAUCCAAACAGUCUCCUACCCUCACACGGUAAGGGUUUUUGUUUUCAUCGUAGAAAAAGAAUUCAGAGUUCAACCAAUCUGGAUCUAUGAUAUCCCUUCUUUUCCCGCCUAAUCCUUUCCAUACUUUCCACAUUCGGUCCACAUUGGCAUGGUGGCAAUAGAAAAUCGGGUCUAAAGCGGCUGAGUAGAAAUUACCCAUAUCUUCACCUAAUGACAGUUUACCACCACCCAAAUCUGUAUUUCUAACAGUACCAGCCCAAAUGUGGACCGGAGUAUGAGGGAUGUUUUCAAUAGUUCCCUGACCUUUGGAAUCGUUAUUCCCAAGGACGUAACGAGCACCAAAGAAUUGCAAAGGGCAUGCAGCAUUAGUUAUCAUUGAACGGUACAUUAAAGUUAAGUUGUUAGUCACCGUUUGUCCAACAUCAGUAAUAACUUCGUCUCUAGGAGAACUAAAAUCGAUUAUGGUUCCAUUACGGACAUGUGGAUUACGUCUUGCAUCAUAAAGGGGAGUAGUUUCACGAUCGAACAUGGGAGGUAAACGCAUACCUUUUGGAUGGUCCCAAUUCCAAUAUGGUAAAGCGAAAGUUGGAUCAUCAAUGAGUUUUCCCAAUAUUCUCUCGUAGAAAAGGUAAACGCAUACCUUUUGGAUGGUCCCAAUUCCAAUAAGGUAAAGCGAAAGUUGGAUCAUCAAUGAGUUUUCCCAAUAUUCUGUCGUAGAAAAAUAAGUACCAUCUAUGGAACGGGAAGAAAAGCCAUGAUUGAUGAACUUGUAAAAUUUCAUCACCGAAUUUGUAAGCACCAUUGCAAUAAGCACAAU